rnacentral:rRNA from 1 species
GACGAACGCUGGCGGCGUGCCUAAUACAUGCAAGUCGAACGAACUCUGGUAUUGAUUGGUGCUUGCAUCAUGAUUUACAUUUGAGUGAGUGGCGAACUGGUGAGUAACACGUGGGAAACCUGCCCAGAAGCGGGGGAUAACACCUGGAAACAGAUGCUAAUACCGCAUAACAACUUGGACCGCAUGGUCCGAGUUUGAAAGAUGGCUUCAGCUAUCACUUUUGGAUGGUCCCGCGGCGUAUUAGCUAGAUGGUGGGGUAACGGCUCACCAUGGCAAUGAUACGUAGCCGACCUGAGAGGGUAAUCGGCCACAUUGGGACUGAGACACGGCCCAAACUCCUACGGGAGGCAGCAGUAGGGAAUCUUCCACAAUGGACGAAAGUCUGAUGGAGCAACGCCGCGUGAGUGAAGAAGGGUUUCGGCUCGUAAAACUCUGUUGUUAAAGAAGAACAUAUCUGAGAGUAACUGUUCAGGUAUUGACGGUAUUUAACCAGAAAGCCACGGCUAACUACGUGCCAGCAGCCGCGGUAAUACGUAGGUGGCAAGCGUUGUCCGGAUUUAUUGGGCGUAAAGCGAGCGCAGGCGGUUUUUUAAGUCUGAUGUGAAAGCCUUCGGCUCAACCGAAGAAGUGCAUCGGAAACUGGGAAACUUGAGUGCAGAAGAGGACAGUGGAACUCCAUGUGUAGCGGUGAAAUGCGUAGAUAUAUGGAAGAACACCAGUGGCGAAGGCGGCUGUCUGGUCUGUAACUGACGCUGAGGCUCGAAAGUAUGGGUAGCAAACAGGAUUAGAUACCCUGGUAGUCCAUACCGUAAACGAUGAAUGCUAAGUGUUGGAGGGUUUCCGCCCUUCAGUGCUGCAGCUAACGCAUUAAGCAUUCCGCCUGGGGAGUACGGCCGCAAGGCUGAAACUCAAAGGAAUUGACGGGGGCCCGCACAAGCGGUGGAGCAUGUGGUUUAAUUCGAAGCUACGCGAAGAACCUUACCAGGUCUUGACAUACUAUGCAAAUCUAAGAGAUUAGACGUUCCCUUCGGGGACAUGGAUACAGGUGGUGCAUGGUUGUCGUCAGCUCGUGUCGUGAGAUGUUGGGUUAAGUCCCGCAACGAGCGCAACCCUUAUUAUCAGUUGCCAGCAUUAAGUUGGGCACUCUGGUGAGACUGCCGGUGACAAACCGGAGGAAGGUGGGGAUGACGUCAAAUCAUCAUGCCCCUUAUGACCUGGGCUACACACGUGCUACAAUGCAUGGUACAACGAGUUGCGAACUCGCGAGAGUAAGCUAAUCUCUUAAAGCCAUUCUCAGUUCGGAUUGUAGGCUGCAACUCGCCUACAUGAAGUCGGAAUCGCUAGUAAUCGCGGAUCAGCAUGCCGCGGUGAAUACGUUCCCGGGCCUUGUACACACCGCCCGUCACACCAUGAGAGUUUGUAACACCCAAAGUCGGUGGGGUAACCUUUUAGGAACCAGCCGCCUAAGGUGGGACAGAUGAUUAGGGUG